AUUGAACGCUGGCGGAAUGCUUUACACAUGCAAGUCGAACGAUGAACCUUAGCUUGCUAAGGGGAUUAGUGGCGGACGGGUGAGUAAUGUAUCGGAACGUAUCCAAUAAUGGGGGAUAACUAGUCGAAAGAUUAGCUAAUACCGCAUACGUCCUACGGGAGAAAGCUAGGGACCUUCGGGCCUGGCGUUAAUGGAGCGGCCGAUAUCUGAUUAGCUAGUUGGUGGGGUAAGGGCUCACCAAGGCGACGAUCAGUAGCUGGUCUGAGAGGACGACCAGCCACACUGGAACUGAGACACGGUCCAGACUCCUACGGGAGGCAGCAGUGGGGAAUUUUGGACAAUGGGCGAAAGCCUGAUCCAGCCAUUCCGCGUGAGUGAAGAAGGCCUUCGGGUUGUAAAGCUCUUUCGCAAGAGAAGAAAACUUAAGCUCUAACAUAGCUUGAGGUUGACGGUACCUUGAUAAGAAGCACCGGCUAACUACGUGCCAGCAGCCGCAGUAA
rnacentral:rRNA from 1 species